CAAUUUAAUCAUUGCUACUCUACAAUUUGAUCUUUCCUAUUUACAAAAUUAUGUAUUUUAGGGUUAUUUCUCCAUUGAUGCAAGGCAGAGAUGACAGAUUCCCUAAGAAAGGUUCAUAUGUAUAUAGAUUCUUAGGAAAAGGUUAUAGCUCGGUAUCAGGCGGAAGCUCUUGAUUUGGAGAAAAUUAUGCUUUAAACAGUAGCAGAAGUUGCACAGGACUGGAGAAUAGAUGAUAUAAGCGGGAUCUUGGGUCGUUGUAAUUUUAAAGCCAACAUGCUUGACAGAGUCUCACUUUUGAGUGGUGAUGAGAAGGUAUGUGAAAUGUCUACCAUGCUAUUUUUGGUUUUGCCUAUUUGGCUAUAUCAGGCUAUGUGGCUGCAUGGAAAGUUAUAUUGCUAUAAACAUUUGUAACAUGGAAAAUGGACAUUCAUGUGCAUUUGUAGUCUAAAAACAUUAAAUAGAUAGUCAACUGUUUUAUUUGUAUCGUGCU